UACCCCGAACUUCUUUCGGACUUCGUCAAUGACCGAGCUUCUCCAGCAGCGGGACUUCUACAGUAACCAGACUCCAUCCAAGCUUCUACGGUGAUCGACCGCCAACCGGUCUUCGUCCGAGCUUCUACAAUAAGCGGCCUCCUUUCAGACUCCUACAAGAGUCGGACUCCGUCCGAACUUCUACAACAGAAUUGAAUCCCGGACUCCUCCAACGUUCGACCUUCCACAGUGUCCUCAAGACUCCUCCAGCGGACAAACCUCCACAAUGCCAUCCGAACUCCCCUGUUGGUCGACCCUCUGCCGGAUUCUUCAUGAAACCGGACUUCUUCGGCGGACAAUCUUCAGGCGAGCUUCCACAUUAAGAAAAUUUCAGACGGACUUCUCUAGCAAUCGGACUCCUACCGGACUUCUCCGAUAGAAAGUUCCCAUCUGAGCUUCUACGGCAGAUGACUUCCGCUUGCAGCAUCAGCGCCUAAGGCACUCCACAAUUGUGGACUCGUCAGCAACCUCGAAAACAUCCGAGCUUCUCUUAGAUUGCUGAGACAGAGAGCCGUUCCGCUCCACCAAACAUCUCAGCCGAGCUUCAGCCGUCCAACCCAAACUCUUCGGCAAGUCGCGACAACGAACACCACUCCACUCUCUGUAACAGAUUCCACGUGGCUCCACCACCCUCUGGCAAGUCGCGACAACGAACACCACUCCACUCUCUGUAACAGAUUCCACGUGGCCCC
rnacentral:lncRNA from 1 species